rnacentral:lncRNA from 1 species
AUGAGAUGCGAAUGGUUGAUUAGCUUUUGAAUGUUCUGAAGGCGAGUCAAAAUGUAAAGGUUGAAUGCACUGUAAAAUGAGAUGUGACAGGUUGUGGCCGUCAGUGGUUUUGAGACUUGCAUAAGACAAAAAUUGGGGUGCAUUCUUCUUUUUGUUCAUGAAAUUUAAACUGCAAAAUAGAAUAGUAUGAUAUGGCGAAGAAAUAUUUCUUUUACCUCUGGGCGCACCAUCGAGGGGCAAUAGAAAGAACUCCAGUCUCUGGAUGCCAAG